rnacentral:rRNA from 1 species
AUUGAACGCUGGCGGCAGGCCUAACACAUGCAAGUCGAGCGGAUGAAGGGAGAUUGCUCCUGGAUUCAGCGGCGGACGGGUGAGUAAUGACUAGGAAUCUGACUGGUAGUGGGGGCUAACGUCCGGAAACGGGCGCUAAUACCGCAUACGUCAUGAGGGAGAACGUGGGGGAUCUUCGGACCUCACGCUAUCAGCUGAGACUAGGGCGGAUUAGCUAGUUGGUGGGGUAAAGGCCUACCAAGGCGACGAUCCGUAACUGGUCUGAGAGGAUGAUCAGUCACACUGGAACUGAGACACGGUCCAGACUCCUACGGGAGGCAGCAGUGGGGAAUAUUGGACAAUGGGCGAAAGCCUGAUCCAGCCAUGCCGCGUGUGUGAAGAAGGUCUUCGGAUUGUAAAGCACUUUAAGUUGGGAGGAAGGGCAGUAAGUGAAUACCUUGCUGUUUUGACGUUACCAACAGAAUAAGCACCGGCUAACUUCGUG